AUCACUGUGCCUCUGAUUUUCUGUGGGCUUUGGGGGGGAUCGCUGUGUUUCGAUUUCUGUGGGCGAUGGGGAGAUCAUUGUGCCUCUGAUUUUCUGUGGUGUUGGGGAUCACUGUGCCUCUGAAAUUCUUUGGGGUAAAGGGGGGGCUGUGCCUUUGAAUCAGUGGCAUGAGUGGGGUGUCACUGUGCCUCUUCUGUGGGUUGAGGGUGUGUUAUUGUGUUAUUAGCGGGGGGGAGGGGAGUCACUGUAUAUUUGAAAGUCGAUGGGGUGGGAGUAGGGUUGCCAGCUGGCCUGUAUUUCCUGGCCUGGCUGGUAAAAAUGUUGCAUGAUUGCAAUGUUAAGUAUAGGGAAAAACCAUAAAAACAUAGGAAGGCCGGUAUUUGUUUUUUUUCUAGAAAAGGUGGCAACCCUAGGUGGGAGGUCACUGUGCCAGUCUUGGAUAUCAGAAAUCCCUCAUCCUCCUGUAGUGGGAUAUGGCUUCUUAUCCCUUUUUAUUAUAACUUAAAGGAGAAUUCAACCCCCCUUGAUGUUAACUGCCCUUCUGCCCCCCCCCCACACACACACAGUCUUACCUCUGAAUCCUUCUCCCUCCAGAAAUAGCGACUGGAAAAGCAGUGUGAGUGUAGCGGAGCUUCCAGCCACCAUCUUGUUUUCUUCUUUCUCCUCCUCAGCACAUCCCGUCUCUUUUCGGCGCAUGCGUAUUUUUCAAACCCAGAAAUUCACUACAACUGCGCAUGUACCAAAAAUCCACUCGAUUCAUGAGAUUUAGAAGAUGGUGGCUGGGAGCACUCACUCUGCUUUUCCGGUCGCUAUUUCUUGAGCGAGAAGGAUUCAGGGCUGCUGUUGGAUUCCUCACAUCCUGACUCCUUUUGUCGCCAUCAUUUUGUGCAGUUUUCUAUUGUUUUGCCAGGAAUGGAAGUGGUACUCUAAAGAAAAUCUUUGGUUUUAUUUAUUGUGUCUUAGAUUUGUUGUAUGAUCCUGCUUCAUGUUUUCAUUUAUGUUUUAAUAAAAUUAUAAAUAAAAUUA